rnacentral:rRNA from 1 species
ACGCUGGCGGCGUGCCUAAUACAUGCAAGUCGAACGCUCUUUUCUUAUCGAACUUCGGUUCACCGAGAAAAGGGAGUGGCGAACGGGUGAGUAACACGUGGGUAACCUACCUUUUGGAGGGGGACAACCACUGGAAACGGUGGCUAAUACCCCAUAGUGCUGAGAAGUGAAAUGAUGAAUAAUCGCCAAGAGAUGGGCUUGCGGCUGAUUAGCUUGUUGGUGAGGUAAUGGCUUACCAAGGCAAUGAUCAGUAGCUGGUCUGAGAGGAUGAUCAGCCACACUGGGACUGAGACACGGCCCAGACUCCUACGGGAGGCAGCAGUGAGGAAUUUUCCGCAAUGGGCGAAAGCCUGACGGAGCAAUGCCGCGUGAAGGAUGAAGGCCUAUGGGUUGUAAACUUCUUUUCUCAGAGAAGAAUUUUGACGGUAUCUGAGGAAUAAGCAUCGGCUAACUCUGUG